UGGGGAAUCAUGGUCAAUGGGCGAAAGCCUGAACCUGCGACGCCGCGUGAGUGAUGAAGGUCGUAAGAUCGUAAAACUCUUUUCAGGGAUCUUAAAGCCUGUCUGUCAACAACAGGCAGAUCUGACUCUCCCUGGAAGAAGCCCCAGCCAACUACGUGCCAGCAGCUGCGGUAAUACGUAGGGGGCGAGCGUUAUUCGGAAUUACUGGGUGUAAAGGGUCUGUAGGCGGCCCUUCAAGGCGGGUGUCAAAGUC
rnacentral:rRNA from 1 species